rnacentral:rRNA from 1 species
GACGAACGCUGGCGGCGUGCUUAACACAUGCAAGUCGAGCGGAAAGGCCCUUCGGGGUACUCGAGCGGCGAACGGGUGAGUAACACGUGAGUAACCUGCCCCAGACUUUGGGAUAACCCUCGGAAACGGGGGCUAAUACCGGAUACGACACAGCUUCGCAUGGGGUCUGUGUGGAAAGUUUUUCGGUUUGGGAUGGGCUCGCGGCCUAUCAGCUUGUUGGUGGGGUGAUGGCCUACCAAGGCGACGACGGGUAGCCGGCCUGAGAGGGCGACCGGCCACACUGGGACUGAGACACGGCGCAGACUCCUACGGGAGGCAGCAGUGGGGAAUAUUGCACAAUGGGCGGAAGCCUGAUGCAGCGACGCCGCGUGAGGGAUGACGGCCUUCGGGUUGUAAACCUCUUUCAGCAGGGACGAAGCGUAAGUGACGGUACCUGCAGAAGAAGCGCCGGCCAACUACGUG